GUAUGACAGAAAUCUUUCUCUCAGUUGACGGUUGGUUUCGUUAAUUUUUUUUAAAAUUAACAACUAUUUAAUGAUUAUCAAUAUCUAAUUCUUGUGACUAAAGUAAUUGAGGAACUGCUUAGACUUGUAGUUUGUAUAUAUUUUAGGUUUUAAAUAUGAAGAAUAUCUGAUUAGUAUUAAAAUAUGAUGUGACAUCCGUAUGUAUCGGUUAUUUUAUGAAAAUUGUUGUGAACUAAUGUAUAAUGAUUAAAAAAUUUAGCACCAUACGAUCCUUUGUUUUCAAGUCUAGCAGAAAGAAGUUGCAAUAAUUUAGGAGGAGGAAAAGAUAUAAAAUAUUAGUGUCUAAAACAAUCGAAGAUAUUUCUUUCUCAUUCUACCAACUGGUUCCAAAAGGUACUUUUAUUAAGCAAAUAUGAUCUAAGGACAGUUAUUGGUAUAUUCGGUCGACACUGUCCGAUGAACUACCAUUUGAAGAACAUCAAAGAAACUUCCGACAGCUCUUAUAGUUUCUGCAAAGGACCAAGGAAAAACGCCGACCACCUCUUGCACCGGAAUCCUUUUGUAUGGUUUUGUUCCUUAUGCCCCAACAACUUAAAUCGCUGAGCUUUGAACUUUAGUUGGAUCUACUGCGAAAAGAUGAAUCGGUUAACAACUGAAAAGGCUGGAAAGAUAAUAUAUUUGUCGCACAACUGGAAUAUGAUAAAUACAGUUAGAAAAACAACAGAAGGAUAAGCAAAAAUGCAGAUAUUGAAGAUAGCGAUAAAUAUAUUGAAACUGAUGAUUCCCAUAUCCACAUAUCGUUAUCGUAUGAAGAUUUCUUAUUUAAUAAAUUCAGUUUCUCUUUAUUUUACAACAAUAUUGCAAUAUUUUACAACAUUACUCACCUCACUUGUAUGUUCUAUUAAUUUUUCG